rnacentral:rRNA from 1 species
UACGAGGGGGCAAGCGUUGUUCGGAAUUAUUGGGCGUAAAGGGUGCGUAGGCGGUUGACAAGUCUAAUGUGAAAUCUAUGGGCUCAACCCAUAGUCUGCAUUGGAAACUGUCGGGCUUGAGUAUGGGAGAGGUGAGUGGAAUUUCCGGUGUAGCGGUGAAAUGCGUAGAUAUCGGAAAGAACACCAACGGCGAAAGCACUCUGCUGGGCCGACACUGACACUGAGAGACGAAAGCUAGGGAGCGAAUGGG